UACGGAGGGUGCAAGCGUUGUCCGGAUUUAUUGGGUUUAAAGGGUGCGUAGGCGGUCUAUUAAGUCAGUGGUGAAAUACUCCAGCUCAACUGGAGGGGUGCCAUUGAUACUGAUGGACUUGAGUCAAGUCGAGGUAGGCGGAAUUGACGGUGUAGCGGUGAAAUGCUUAGAUAUCGUCAAGAACACCAAUAGUGAAGACAGCUUACUAGGCUUAAACUGACGCUGAGGCACGAAAAGUGUGGGGAGUCAAAACAGGG
rnacentral:rRNA from 1 species